UGCCAAGAAGUUGCCUAUCUAGUGUCUUUUUAAUACUACCUACUAUAUAAAAAGCAUUUACGAACUUGUAAUGUAGAUAUGCCUUUUGAUAGUGUCCUUUGAUUGAGAGAUAUUCUUUCAACUUUUUUUUCUCUUUUCUUCUACUUCUCUGUUCAUCCUGUAGGAUUCUUCCAAUUAACUCUACUUUUUGAACUUGCAAAAGGGACAAUGAGAGGCCACAAAGUCGAUACUUAAAUAGAGAACAAAAAGAAAUUCCAAUUACCUUUAACCGCCUCGAUUGAAGAGUUAAAGUGUGUCGCUCUCUACUAAAUCCACGGGAUACCUUCCACGUUCAACCAACAACAUGUGACAAUAUAUGUAAGGUAAUUUUGUCCAUCAAGAUAGGACAGAUAGAAAGAAUCACCAAGAGUUCUUUUGUCGCUACUGGGAUUUGAACCUAAGACCUAGAUACUCAACCCACUUCAUUGACCACUAGGGCACACCCUUGGGUGCGACAAUAAAGGUUAUUGAUUGGGGAAUUAAUACCGUUCUUGAGUUUGACCACUAGGACACACCCUCGGGUGCGACAUUUAAGGUUAUUGAUUGGGGAAUUAAUACUAUUCUUGAGUUAGGCAGAGGCUGUUGAGUCGUAAAUAUUUUUGGGCCAAAUCAUGCCGCUUCAAAAUUAUUGCAGAGGCUGUUGAGUCGUAAAUAUUUUUGGGCCAAAUCAUGCCGCUUCAAAAUUAUUUAGUACUAUAAAAAUAUUGCACUGCAGAAGUUCUUUAUGUUCCCAGCUAACCAUUUUUAUAUUGUUGCCAAGAAGUUGCCUAUCUAGUGUCUUUUUAAUACUACCUACUAUAUAAAAAGCAUUUACGAACUUGUAAUGUAGAUAUGCCUUUUGAUAGUGUCCUUUGAUUGAGAGAUAUUCUUUCAACUUUUUUUUCUCUUUUCUUCUACUUCUCUGUUCAUCCUGUAGGAUUCUUCCAAUUAACUCUACUUUUUGAACUUGCAAAAGGGACAAUGAGAGGCCACAAAGUCGAUACUUAAAUAGAGAACAAAAAGAAAUUCCAAUUACCUUUAACCGCCUC
rnacentral:lncRNA from 1 species